UCCCACCUCAAGCCGCUCCUCCUCGCCUUCGUGGACGACCGCCUGCUCCCGCCGUUCGCGCCCGCGUGCCUGCUCCUCAUCGCCUCGCUCUUGCCCGCGGAUCGCAGAGCAUCUCAUGGCGUCCCCGGCGCAGCCAGCCUCCGUCUCCGGCCCCUUCGGCUCCGCCGCCGACCUCACCAUCUUCUCCACUCCGACCACGACGCAGUGGGCGGAUCCAGGCCGUGCGAGUGAGAUGGCGGCCAGAUCCUCGUAUGGCGAGGACACGCAGCGGUCCCCACCGGCUAAAUCAGGUCCGUCUCCUCCCACAGCUGAGUCAUUUUACUGGUGGUUUGCCUCGCACGGCCACGACCUCUGACCCCUUCUCAUUGAUUUUCUCGGGCGGCCGCCUCUCCCACCAUCGACGGCACAUGCUGAACACCGAGAUCCUCCGCGCCAAGGCCAAGCUCCUCGAGGAGGAUCCACCCAAGCUACACGCCGGCCACAACCCCCCACCAGCGAAUCUUCUCGGGCGGAUUCGCGUCCUCCUCCCAAAGCAGUCGUCCCCGGCGAGCCAUCCUAGUGGCCAGAGGAGGUGGAGGAGCACCUGCCUCCUCUCCCCCAGCGCGUGGGCCGGUGGCUGCUUCCUCUUCCUCGCCUAGUGAACGGGGUGAGAUUCCCCUCUCUGCCUCCAGAUCCAAAUCAAAGUUUUUCUAUAUGCAUUUAGCCUCCACUGAAUCUUUGAGUUCCAGUUUCAUUCGUGUGUACUUAUUACAAUUGGUUUGUGUCAAUGCAACCUUAGUCCAGAUACCAUCGUUCCCAGAGAAUCCAAAUUUCAGUUAGUUCAUGUCAGUGUGGACUUAUCAGCAUGAUUCGACCAUGAAUCCAUGAUAUUAUCUAGUGCAGCCAAUGGGUUACUCAUGGUACCAAUUACUCUUAUGAAAUGGACAGUGCCACGUGCAAAUGAACUGAAACAUUUUAUUUUAUUUUGCGGGUACUUUGAGUCUUGACCAUCCCAGGUCUGAACCCUGCAACACAGCACAACACUGGUAUAGUGCAUGCAUCCUAUUAAUGCGGAAGGUUUCAUAUAUAGAUUGAUAAUCCAUGUGACUUUGACUGAAUUGUUGAGUUAGUAUAUACUUGACCAUCUUCGUCUGGCGCCCACACUCCCUCACACUACACGUCUUCAUCCACUGGGAUGGACAGGCGCUACGCACUUUACGUAGUAUACAUCUAUGGUGAGCCAGUCAGUAGUCGUGGCUGAGUCAUCAAUACUCACCUAGCAGCCACUUGUUGGCCACUUGAUUCAGAGUUUCAGACCAUAUAACCAUGCUUUAGAAGGCUAUAUUUGGUAAACACCCAAAAUGCCUCUUUUUUAGCUGAUGAAUCGUCCUACAUGCACAGUUUGCUUGAUGUCCUUGUUUAUCCAGAUUCUAGAAUGUUUGAUUGCAACAUUCUAUUGAAGAUAGAAGUAUAGGACCGGCGUACAUGAUCUGGAACCUUUUGGUUUCAAUCAGUUGCUGUUGCUGAUUUAAUGACUAUGCUCACGUUGUUGUUGAUUAAAUGCUUAUGUUGUUGCUGCAUGCUUAUGCUACUGAUUCAAUGCUUAGGAAUUGAUUGAAUUGAACCUGUUGUAAUCCUUCCUGUUCUACUUGUAUUUAAAUUUUGGGUUUCUAUUUGAUUUUUUAGUCUGUUAUUUACGGUUCAUCUUCAGUUUCUUCUGUAACUUGCUUGGAGCUUAGAAUACACAGCCCAACUAGUCUCAUAUACAAAUAAGACCAAUGAUUCAUGCUAAAUGCUAAAUUCUAUAUAUAUAUAUAUAUAUAUAUAUAUAUCUCUGUGUGUGUGUGUUGGAUUGGAGAACCACUCGAGGAGGGAGGGAGGAAGCACAGAAGGUCACCAUGGACCUCGCCCAACUCCCACCCAUCUUCCUGCCUGCAGCUGUAGGCCAAAUAAAGGAUGUUGUUCUCGGUUGAGUUGUGCUUGAGGAUGAGCAGAGAGAGAAAUUUAAUCAAAUCCAAUAGCUUCACUCGUGUCUGCCACUUCUCAUUAUCGUGUUGACAGAGCGUUCACCCGAUGGCGGAAUACCACGCCACGGCGUGGGCAGUCGGCGGUUGUGCUAUAUACGUUAGUGACAAACCCGAAAACCAUGACUUCGAUCUACUGAGGAAGCUUGUGUUUCCCGACGGAUCAGUCCUGCGAGCCAAACUAUCCGGGAGACAAACUGCACUAUAGUUGUCGUGGAAAUUCCAUGCGAUGGAAGCUUCUAGAGCCUGCUGGUACUUCCUAGCCAGAAGCACCACGAGCUCGAUGUCCAGCCCUACAUCCACCACCCCACGCACAAGGUGCUCUGCUCUUGCUCACGUCUAGCACCGUCUCCGGCGCGGUGGUGCUUCUUGAGGCGACCGGCGUGACGGCGGCGACCAAAAGCUCUCUGCUGUGAGUAGACGUCAAUGAUGCCUACUUGCUUGGCUGCUACAGUGAUGCAUGCGCCGGUCAAGCAAGCACACAUGCAUAUACGUACAUGUUAGGAUAGGAGCAGAUGUGCCAUAAUUCCUGUGUAAGGAAAUGUAUUCCUGAGAUGAUUUUAUUAUGUUAUGUAAACCUGGGAGAUGUGUUAUGUGAUGUGAUAUGAUGGAUGAUUUGAAUUCGACAUUGAGUUUUCCUGAUUUGAAUAUGAAACAA